CAGUCGCCGCGGGAAUACAGAGGGUGCGAGCGUUAAUCGGAUUUACUGGGCGUAAAGCGUGCGUAGGCGGCUUUUUAAGUCGGAUGUGAAAUCCCCGGGCUUAACCUGGGAACUGCAUUUGAAACUGUCAGGCUGGAGUCUUGUAGAGGGGGGUGGAAUUCCAGGUGUAGCGGUGAAAUGCGUAGAGAUCUGGAGGAAUACCGGUGGCGAAGGCGGCCCCCUGGACAAAGACUGACGCUCAGGUGCGAAAGCGUGGGGAGCAAACAGGAUUAGAUACCCGCGUAGUCCCUGUCUCUUAUAC
rnacentral:rRNA from 1 species